CGUAGGCGCAAGCGUUAUCCGGAAUUAUUGGGCGUAAAGAGCUCGUAGGCGGUUUGUCGCGUCUGCUGUGAAAGCCCGGGGCUUAACCCGGGUCUGCAGUGGGUACGGGCAGACUGGAGUGCAGUAGGGGAGACUGGAAUUCCUGGUGUAGCGGUGAAAUGCGCAGAUAUCAGGAGGAACACCGAUGGCGAAGGCAGGUCUCUGGGCUGUUACUGACGCUGAGGAGCGAAAGCAUGGGGAGCGAACAGGAUU
rnacentral:rRNA from 1 species